UUUUCACUGCGAAGGCAGGAAAUUGUGGGAAAGGAAACUGGAGUGGAAGAGUUGAAGGCGAGAUGGCCAGCGUUGUUCACUGUGGAUGAAAUCGGUGCUGAAUUCAUGAGAAUUACAACUGUUCCACUUCAACCGCGAUUCCUGGCUUCCUUGGACAAGCAGCACAGCAAGCUGAUUGAGAUCUUCAGAGACAAGGGAGGAGCUGUCAGAGAGAAGACUCGGGACAUACUGAAAGUUCUUGAUCAGAGCCUCGAGGUGAAUUUAAAACGAGAGUGUCUGCUCAAGGGCCUUACCAUCUACCUUGGGGAAGAUGUAGGCAAACUCUUCAAA